rnacentral:tRNA from 1 species
UGCGGAGUAGCUCAGGCGGUCGAGAGCAGUGGUCUCAUAAACCACAGGUCGCGGGUUCGAGUCCCGCCUCCGCAA